AUAUAUUCUUUAUUUAUUUCUUUACACAACUAAAACAAAGAUAAUGAAAUUAAGGGGAAAAAAAACACCCAAAACCCUUGGGCAAUCAUACCGAAUUUUGUUCCCUAUUGUAAUGACAUGCUUUAACACAAGAUAAGUUUUCUCCAACAUUAUUAAGAACAGAACCUGUUUACUGGCCAAAUACUAGAUGCCUCUAGUGAAUUUGAAAAUGUGCAAAAUAUACAAAAAUGUAUCACCUGGGGAGAGUUACAGCUGUAACAAACAAAGAAGAAUUUCUGAUUAAAAAGGAACAUGACUUAUUUAAAUAAAAUGACUAGAUUGAAAGCUAUGUUCCAGAGGUCUGUCCUCACAUAUUGGUGCAUGUAGAGCUUGGACAUUCUGUUGGCCCCAUUCCUUGAAGAUCAGUCAUCUGUGUUGGUGAAGAGUCACAGCCUUUAGAUUUGUGCACUGGGUUGUUAGGAUACUUACUCAAAGGCUCUUCCUCUUAGCAGGCAGUGUGCUUCAGACCUCCAGGGAAGUGCACGAAGAGCCUGGAGCAGGCGUGCUGCUGCUGCAGGAGUGCAUCCCUAGCUUCUACUGGAUGCAAACAGACCAGAGGAACCCAAAGUCUCCCCUGCUACCAGCUGGAUCCAGGUAUCACACAUUUCCCUUUGACCUUUCUUUAAUGGAGUUGUUUCAAGCACAGACCAGUACUUUCAGAAUUGCUUCCCCAUUUAAAACAGAAAAAAUGCUCUCCCUAAAACCCAAUUUUGCUAGGUAUUAUUUGUCUUUCGUAUGGUUGCACUUGGAUACCAUCACACUUAUGCAGCAGACUAAAUCGAUACCUUGAUAUUUCACAUGCUCUAAGGUAACAUUUGUGCUCUUCUAAAGGCUUGAAAUCCUGGGAUACUGACAGGACACUUUACACAAAACAUAGCCAAAAGCAAGUUCCUGUGUUGUUCAGCAAGUCUGUCACCCUGAAUUAAUCUACCUGUAGCUGCUGAAAGGAGUCUUACCUCUCCUUUUCUACUCCCACCCAUGGAACUCUGUUGCUCCCUGUAUCUAGUUUGACUCAGUUUAGCUUGCAGUAUCAGAGGCACAUUUUUGCAGGAUUUAUUUUCUUAUGGUGAUGUCCAUGAGCUUUUAGGUUGGCUCAGCUUCUGGGUAGACCACACCUACUGCUAAAGCCUGCUUCCCCUCAGCAAAAUUUUUGUUCUUGUAGCCAGAAGAACACAGGGAGGUGCUUUCUGGAGGAUGAUGACACAAUGCCAAGACUCUUCUCUAACCACUGCUGAUUUUCUACUGGCAAGGGCUCAUUUCUCUGAUGAACUCGAGUCACACAACUAUCUCAACUACUAUGUUCUGACUCACGAAACCUCACAGGUCAACUUCCUGUCAGUCCUGCCUCUGGCCCUCUGUAAAGAUGACCCAAUAUUCUUAAGCAAAUGGACCCAUACGGGAUGUAGAAAUUAAGAGUGCAGUAUCUAGGGCUGGUGCCUACACACUUAUUCACGUCUUCCAAGACUUAAAUUGCAAAAGCAGGCUGAAAUUCAGAAUGAAGUUGAAUUCUAGGAAGUUUAAGAUGUCUGAUUCAAAACCUUGUCAUUAUCUUGGGUUUUGUAGUGCCAUGCAAAUGUUUGGCACUUAGGAAAACAUAUGGCUUUCCAAAUUCUACUAAAAUUUAAAACAGAUUACUAAAACAGAAGAAGGUAUCUCAAAUUCAAAAAGAUAAAUCUCCUGAAUAGUUAGAUUUUUUGGUGUUCUAGUGAUUUUCUGAGGUAUGAGAUUUACAGAUAAUCCUGCUCGUUGUCCCUCCAGUAAAGGACAAGUUUUAAGGUAGAUUGUUGAAUGGAAUCCCUACAUUUCAGACCCAGCUUUUCAAACUAAAGUGACCUGAGCCUGAGUUUUCCUGGUGUUACAUUCUGUCACAGCAGAAUGCAUUCCUGUCUGUCUUGUCCAGUUGCAUUCUAGGCUUCAGCAUGGUAAAACCACCACUCAGCAGAGGAGUGGAGUACCACAGCUGUGAAAACUGAACUGGACCACAUACCCACAGACCUUCAAUAAUAGAAUUCUUUAAAGAAAUGCAGGGCUACCCACAGCAGGGACCACUAAAGACAGAAAUAACAUGUCAUGGCUCAGAAAUUUCAAAGGACAUAGAAAUAGAAAAGAUACUUCCAGGUAUAGCAGACACUGUGCUGGAUGGAAGUUGUGUUAAGACUGUCCACUUUCUCCUGAAUUUGUACUGAACUGAGACUGAGCUCCAAGACUUAAACCAAUGAGAUAUAAGUUACAGUGGACAAAUACAGCAUUGAGCUUACAACUGAAAUACAUGGCUGGUAUCAAGUUUUAGCGUUUUUUCCAAGUUGCUCUUGUUUCAUCUGUCAAAAUCUCUCAAGUUUCAUCAGAAGAUGGUAGACAUUGUUUCCUCUUCCACAUCAUUUUGCUACUUACCCCAAAGGCUACAUCUCAGUUCUAAAACUGCUGCAUUUUGGUAUCUGGUAGAAGUAUUAUUAUUAUUUAUAGAGCAGUAUUACUUUCUCUGUACAUACACAGCUCAAAUUACAACACACCAUUUUCAGCAAAUUGAUCAAGAAUUCAUCCCAGGACCUGCAGUUAACCAGGAACUACCUAGAAGCAGGAGGCAAAGUCUUACAGAGGCAAGGCUCUUUAAGAAUAAACUGGUCAUGGUUAGCUUUUUCAGAUCACAUAUAGACAUCGUACAUCUGGUGGGCAAAGUCAAGAAAAGAGAAAACAACGGCUCCUCUAGUUGGGCAUGGAGCUCAGUCUCUGGGGCUACUGCCCCAGUGCUAACUCUGCAGGAAAACUAGCACCCAGGGGAACUCAGAUGUCCAGUUGAUACAGAAUCUCCCUCAUGUAUCCAGGAUUUUUCUAAUGAUUAAUGUCUUAUUUUUAGUAUGUUGAUAAGCAAAAAAACCCCUAUAAAUAAUGUAAUUUAUAAUUUUAUUUUUACAUUUAUUUUCUUCUCAUGUUCUUAAUGGCCGCUGGGAAGUAGUAAACAGAGACAUGUGAUGUCUGUUACCAAGUAGUUUCUAUUUAACAAUUCUGCGUAUCUUUACACCUCUUUUUCAUAUGAGCCUAUCUUUUUUUUGCAACUUUCUUGUAAUUUAUCUUGAUUUUUUUUGUCUACUUCUUAAAUGGUCUGUUCAUAUUCUGGUUUAGUUCUUAUCUGAAUUUAACAUAACAGUUCCCCCCAAUUUUAGAUACUUGACUAGGAAAAGGUCAUCCUCUUCUAGUGUUAAGCUUGAUUACAUCUGAGUUUUAUUGCAUUGGAAAACUCUUUUAUAUAUAAACUCAAUCCCACUACUGGUAUUUCAGAUCUUUCUGUCUUAAAGCACUGCAGUUAUGUCCUGAGCCUGCAAUAAGAUCCAUGCAGGUAAUUGACAAUAUCUAUUGACAAUAUCCCCCUUAAGUCAGACAGCUCUCAACAUGCACCCAUCCAGCUGUAGAAGAACAACUUUCAUACUCAGAUUGAGCCCCAGACAACAUGAUCUUCCUAAAGCAAAAUGCCAUUGAUAGUAUUUGGCAAUACCCUGCCAAAUAGCAAGGGCCAGCUUUUCAAUAUAGUUUUCCCUGUCACAGCAUCUUAACAUAAAUUAUUUCUCUUUAACAUCAGUCUUUAAAUGAACAGCUCAGUUACUAAAAGUCUAAAGUAAUCAGCAAUAGUUCUGGUAUCAGGAUGACAGACUCUCUUAUGUUUCACUAGCAACUUCUGAUAUUGUCAAACAAACUCCAAGUUGUAUACUAGCUGUAGAAGUCCUUUUUUAAAAUACUGCAAUAGUCAGGCAACUUUGCAUUUUCAUUUUCUUUCUGGAAUGUCCUUAUGUAUAUAUGCUGAUGAAUUUUUAAAGGUUGUGUGUAUUAGUUUUCACUGGCUAAGAAUUAUUUCUGACAUAUUUUUAAAAAACACUGACUUCUGUUCCUAGUUACAGCUUUCUUAUUAAAAUAAAAAAUACAAAUUGCAAAAAAACCUUCUUCUUUAUGGCUGUGUUAUCUACCUCGCUAACAACUAAUUCUAAAGUAGAAUUACAACAGACUAUGUAAAUAAAUACAGACAUUUAACAAAGAGAAGGAUUUGGUUGGCUUUUUUUAACUAUCUUGGCAAAAAUGAACUGUGACUAAAAGAUUGGGGACUAAUUUACAACCUACUAUUAAGUCACCUGAAGGUACUCUCAACAUACCAGCACAAGUAAAUUGGUUAGAAAGACUAAACAUUGCACAGUAAGAACUACCUUCAUCCAUCAUAACUUCCUGAUAUAAAAUUCACAUUUUCUGAGUGCGUUUUUUCCUGUUCUGUAAUAGUUUCUAAGUUAAGCUUGGGCAGUUACUGCAAAGUCAUAGUGCUGGGACCGAUUAAAAAGCACUUUAUUCUCUGUUCAGAGAGACUGUUGAAAAUCCUGACCAUAUUUCUGGGUUUCCUAGUUGUUAACUUGGCCAUGAGUUUAUCUCGGAAGCCUGGGACUCCACAGACUCAGCCCAACUGUGGUCAUAUGAAACUGUGCUCACUCUAUCUCCUAGUUAAUCCUCAAUUCUAAUUACAUUAAAGAUUGUAACAGAAAAGUAGGUUUGAGGUUUUUUGGCCUCGUUCAGACUACUUGGAACACCACACUAAGGGUAACCAUGAAAAAGUCAUUCUUUGGGAGAAUUUGCAAGCUAAGGGUCAAAAUCAGUGCCUAAACCUACACGCCGUCCUAUGACCCUGCACAUGCACUCAGAUGUGAUGGAAGGCCAAGCCCAAAUUGUUCCCCUUUACAGGAACCCUUCACAAGCUAAGUGGUGUUACAGAGAAACAGGCCCCACUAAUAAUCAUUCCUGUAUCAUCAUAUACUUAUGUAACGUUUUACACAUAUUUCCUGUCUUAGUUUAACAAUCGGAGAGCUCCCAGUUUCCUUUGUGUUGCAUAACACGACACACAGACCAGCAAACUGACGUUGAGGGGAAUCUUAUUAAUUCUCCUUAACACGACGAAAAUAAAGCCUGCUGGUACAAAUGCUCGCUCCGUGCCAAGGCUCGGGUGUCCAGCUCAAGGCAGGUACUC
rnacentral:lncRNA from 1 species